rnacentral:tmRNA from 1 species
GGUCUUUAAAAGUUAACCCAGAAUGCCUAUAUUUGCCAUGCCGCUUCGGCGGCUAUGGUGAUAAACGCCCUGUGAAAUAAGCGUUGCGGACCCGGGGGCGGUACCCGGCGCCUCCACCACUCUUCAGACGGUGCGAAAGCACCCGACCAGAUGGGGGCGAAAUAGGAUCGACGCGCGUGGUAAAGGCAGGAUUUUUGCCCGGCAUGAUACCGCCGUUAUCGGGUCAAACCUUAUGUGCGAACGAUAAUGAAUACGCACUCGCUGCUUAGAUAAGCAAGCGCGGUUCGGGGGGCACCGGGCAACAGAAGCCCCCCACU